CUACGGGGGGCUGCAGUGGGGAAUCUUAGACAAUGGGGGAAACCCUGAUCUAGCCAUGCCGCGUGAGCGACGACGGCCCUAGGGUUGUAAAGCUCUUUCAGCAGGGAAGAUAAUGACGGUACCUGCAGAAGAAGUCCCGGCGAACUCCGUGCCAGCAGCCGCGGUAAUACGGAGGGGACUGGCGUUGUUCGGAAUUACUGGGCGUAAAGCGCGCGUAGGCGGAUUGUUAAGUCGGGGGUGAAAUCCCGGGGCUCAACCCCGGAACUGCCCUCGAUACUGGCAGUCUUGAGUUCGAGAGAGGUGAGUGGAAUUCCGAGUGUAGAGGUGAAAUGCGUAGAUAUUCGGAGGAACACCAGUGGCGAAGGCGGCUCACUGGCUCGAUACUGACGCUGAGGUGCGAAAGCGUUGGGAGCAAACAGGAUUAGAUACCCGUGUAGUC
rnacentral:rRNA from 1 species